UAGAGAAAUUUUCUAUGAUAAUAAUUUUUAAGUUUUUGUCACAAAAAUAGCUUUUAAUGAGAAAAAUGACAAAAAUAAUUUUAUUAAAGAGUAAAAAUACAUUUAUACCCUAGAGUUAACUAAUCUAGACUUAAAAUUUAGAGUUUAGGGGUGGAGUUUUGAGGAUAUAGUUUCAAAUUUUAAAAAUAAAAAAAAUAUUAAAAUUUUCAAAAUAAAAAAGUUAUUUUGAUAAUUUUUAUUGAAUGUUAUUUUGUGACGAAAACUUAAAAAAUACUAUUUGAGAGAAUUGCUCUGUGUUAUCUUAAUAUAUUAUUUAAUAAUGUAAGUAAAAUUUUAAAGUACAUAAAUGUAAACUAUUUAUGUAAUGAGUCAUUAGUUCUUAAAAAAAUUGAUAGUUUUUUUUUUAAAGUUUCUCAACUUUUCAAUUUCUCUUUUUUUUUCUACUUUAUCAUUUUAGUGGAGAGACAGAGACUAAUGGAAAUGCUUUUAUGAGAUCCUACUGUAAUUAGUAGUUUAAAUAUUGGGAGCUCUAGUAAUCUCCCAUUA
rnacentral:lncRNA from 1 species